rnacentral:lncRNA from 1 species
CAAGGCUAAGCCAAAAGGAUAUGUUGGGUCUCAUGAAAGGAUUGCGACUGUGAACAGAUCAAAGCGGAAUCUCUCUUUAAUCAUUGAUCGCAUCUCAUGUCCCCAAAUCUAGUUAAGAAUAUUCCAAGAACUCGUGUGCAUGUUGUCUUCGAUUCCACUAGUGAAAUACGCAAACCUGAUCAAUACCUAUACACAAACCAAUUAUAUUAUUUUAGACAUACAGAAUUAAUAAUACCUAUGAAAAAAAUCUUUCCUUGCGGCGGCACCACCAACUCCGACG